AAUGUGUGAUAUUGUCACUUCGGUGCAACAGAGGGAAAAUAUUUCAGUCAACACAUUAAGUGGAACCAAAAUGAGGAAUCGAAAUUUGCGUUCUAAUACGGUCCGAUCACUACCGGUUGUUCAGUGGAACCGGGUUUUGG